GUGCCAGCCGCCGCGGUAAUACAGAGGGUGCAAGCGUUAAUCGGAUUUACUGGGCGUAAAGCGUGCGUAGGCGGUUUAUUAAGUCGGAUGUGAAAUCCCCGAGCUUAACUUGGGAAUUGCAUUCGAUACUGGUGAGCUAGAGUACGGGAGAGGAUGGUAGAAUUCCAGGUGUAGCGGUGAAAUGCGUAGAGAUCUGGAGGA
rnacentral:rRNA from 1 species